GGAAGAGGCCGGAGCAACCCAGAGCGGGGCCACUCCGGGGAGGCCAGCAACGGCACCUUCCCCACACCGAAAAGGCCCGCCUCCUCCCGGCUACGCAACUUCCAGUUCCGGAAGCCGGUCUGUCCCUUUGGUCGCGAAAGAUAGUGAUCUACAGCAAUUCUCCUUUCAAACAUCGUUGAAAGUGGGAAUGGCACUUUUACAUUGCCAGAAGUGUUCGUGAAAAUUUCUCCAUCUGCAAUCGCUCAUGCUCUUUGUGAAUUGGAAUCUAGCACUGAAAAGAUGUUUGCCCAGCAGAUGACACCCAAGUUUGACAGAGAGUGAGUGCAUAACUGCAAGGGAACUGUCUGGUCUCAAGGCUAUAGGUUUGGCGAGAACCAACAGGUACCUUGUUAGCAUUUGGAACAAUAUGGCAAUAUUGCCUCUGGUCUCAAAGCAGCCAUCAAUAUCGGGUCUCAUGUGCAGUCGGGUAAAGCUUCAGCAGCAAAGUCUGCCAGUCAAGCCACAGAGAAAGAUUUCCAUUAGCUGUUGGCAGUUUGACCAGCUACUUGGGCUCUUCACUUGCAAGACAUGAUGGAAGCGCCUGACUAGCCCCAGCUUGCAGGAGGGCAGUUGUUUACAGCUGUUGACAGGACAUGUGUUUGAUUUAUGCAGAGCAAUCAACUGCUGAUGAUCUAUGCCUGUGUGCUGCCACCUGACACAGAACUGCUUUAAAAAAAAACCUCAAAACCCAUCCAUUGAGAGGCAUUUAAAAUCUUUUAAUGAUAAAUCAGUGGAUUUUUAAUUUUAUCUUUAUUCAUUUGUUUUUAAUUGAGUUAGUUUUAAUUGAUUUUAUUCUUUGCUGUGUUUUGUUUUAAACUUUAUUAGUUUAACUGUUGUGGGCUGCCCCAGGCAGUAUUGUUCUGGAGGGGUAGGGUAGAAAUUUUUAAAUACAUGAAAUAAAUCAACAUUUCUUUUC